rnacentral:rRNA from 1 species
GACGAACGCUGGCGGCGUGCCUAAUACAUGCAAGUAGAACGCACAGUUUAUACCGUAGCUUGCUACACCAUAGACUGUGAGUUGCGAACGGGUGAGUAACGCGUAGGUAACCUGCCUGGUAGCGGGGGAUAACUAUUGGAAACGAUAGCUAAUACCGCAUAAUAUUAAUUAUUGCAUGAUAAUUAAUUGAAAGGUGCAAUUGCACCACUACCAGAUGGACCUGCGUUGUAUUAGCUAGUAGGUGAGGUAACGGCUCACCUAGGCGACGAUACAUAGCCGACCUGAGAGGGGGAUCGGCCACACUGGGACUGAGACACGGCCCAGACUCCUACGGGAGGCAGCAGUAGGGAAUCUUCGGCAAUGGACGAAAGUCUGACCGAGCAACGCCGCGUGAGUGAAGAAGGUUGUCGGAUCGUAAAGCUCUGUUGUAAGAGAAGAACGGGUGUGAGAGUGGAAAGUUCACACUGUGACGGUAGCUUACCAGAAAGGGACGGCUAACUACGUG